GCCCCAUGAUGAGACCAAGGCGAAUAUGAGCUCACUGAAUGAGAGUUGGGUCCUUCUUGCCUUGACUGGCAGGUAAUCUUGGUAGUGUAGAGGAGCAUUCCUGCUCUGCUGUAAGGGCCUGCCUACAGUAAUCCUGGCUCACUCCCCAAUUAUUCCUUUAAAGUUACGAUGGAGUAAUCACGGGGGUGAAGCUAACAGUGUGUGUGUUUGUGUGCAUACAUGGUUGUGUGUGUGUGUGUGUGUGUGUGUGUGUGUGUGUGUGUGUGUGUGUGUGUGUGUGUGUGUGUGUAAAAGGCAAGGAGUACACCCAACUCUCUUUGUGCUUCAGUCAGCCAUGAGUUGCUUCUUUGGUAAUCUGAGGGCA